AACGAACGCUGGCGGCAUGCCUAACACAUGCAAGUCGAACGAGACCUUCGGGUCUAGUGGCGCACGGGUGCGUAACGCGUGGGAACCUGCCCUUAGGUUCGGAAUAACUCCCCGACAGGGGUGCUAAUACCGGAUAAUGUCUUCGGACCAAAGAUUUAUCGCCUUUGGAUGGGCCCGCGUUGGAUUAGCUAGUUGGUAGGGUAAAAGCCUACCAAGGCGACGAUCCAUAGCUGGUCUGAGAGGAUGAUCAGCCACACUGGGACUGAGACACGGCCCAGACUCCUACGGGAGGCAGCAGUGGGGAAUAGUGGACAAUGGGCGAAAGCCUGAUCCAGCAAUGCCGCGUGAGUGAUGAAGGCCUUAGGGUUGUAAAGCUCUUUUAACCGGGAUGAUAAUGACAGUACCGGGAGAAUAAGCUCCGGCUAACUCCGUG
rnacentral:rRNA from 1 species